rnacentral:rRNA from 1 species
AUACGGAGGGUGCAAGCGUUGUUCGGAAUCACUGGGCGUAAAGGGCGCGCAGGCGGUCCUGCAAGUCAGAUGUGAAAGCCCACGGCUCAACCGUGGAAGUGCAUUUGAAACUGCAGGACUUGAGUAUCAGAGGGGAAAGUGGAAUUCCCGGUGUAGAGGUGAAAUUCGUAGAUAUCGGGAGGAAUACCGGUGGCGAAGGCGACUUUCUGGCUGAAUACUGACGCUAAGGCGCGAAAGCGUGGGGAGCAAACAGGAUUAGAAACCCGAGUAGUCC